UACGUAGGGUGCAAGCGUUAAUCGGAAUUACUGGGCGUAAAGACGUGCGCAGGCGGCUAUGCAAGACAGAUGUGAAAUCCCCGGGCUCAACCUGGGAACUGCAUUUGUGACUGCAUGGCUAGAGUACGGUAGAGGGGGGAUGGAAUUCCGCGUGUAGCAGUGAAAUGCGUAGAUAUGCGGAGGAACACCGAUGGCGAAGGCAAUCCCCUGGACCUGUACUGACGCUCAUGCACGAAAGCGUGGGGAGCAAACAGG
rnacentral:rRNA from 1 species